UACAGAGGUCUCAAGCGUUGUUCGGAUUCAUUGGGCGUAAAGGGCGCGUAGGCUGCGGGGCAAGUCGGGUGUGAAAUCUCAGAGCUCAACUCUGAAACUGCACUCGAUACUGCUUUGCUCGAGGACUGGAGAGGUGAUUGGAAUUCACGGUGUAGCAGUGAAAUGCGUAGAUAUCGUGAGGAAGACCAGUGGCGAAGGCGGAUCUCUGGACAGUUCCUGACGCUGAGGCGCGAAGGCCAGGGGAGCAAACGGG
rnacentral:rRNA from 1 species